AUUUCACAGACAGAGCAACAAGCAUCCAAGCAUCAGUGCUGGACUUAAGGAUGGGAGAUACUUUGCUGUCCGUCCUGUUGUUACCCAUGCUGAUUACACUCCUCUACUAUGGACAUGCUCAAGAUGCUGUGCUGACAACUGAUCCCAACUGGUCCACUUUUUUUGUCGGAGAGUCUGUUACGUUCAUAUGUGACAUGAGCGAAGGCAAAGAUGCUGACUGGGAAUACAGGAUCAAGAAGGAUGGCCAAGAAUAUCUUGCCAGCAACAUACAUCAGGGCUACAUAUUAGGACCUCUGACUACAGAUGACGGCGGUGAAUAUCAGUGUGUUGGUUACAGGAAGAGCUCACAUUAUCCCAAGAAGAGUAAUACUGUCUCAUUAACUG